AUCCUGGCUCAGGAUAACGCUGGCGGCGUGCUUAACACAUGCAAGUCGAACGCUGAAGCCCCAGCUUGCUGGGGUGGAUGAGUGGCGAACGGGUGAGUAACACGUGAGUAACCUUCCCUUGACUCUGGGAUAAGCCCGGGAAACUGGGUCUAAUACCGGAUACGACUUCCUGCCGCAUGGUAUGGGAGUGGAAAGAUUUAUCGGUCUUGGAUGGACUCGCGGCCUAUCAGCUUGUUGGUGAGGUAAUGGCUCACCAAGGCGACGACGGGUAGCCGGCCUGAGAGGGUGACCGGCCACACUGGGACUGAGACACGGCCCAGACUCCUACGGGAGGCAGCAGUGGGGAAUAUUGCACAAUGGGCGCAAGCCUGAUGCAGCGACGCCGCGUGAGGGAUGACGGCCUUCGGGUUGUAAACCUCUUUCAGUAGGGAAGAAGCGAAAGUGACGGUCCUGCAGAAGAGCGCCGGCUAACUCGUGCC
rnacentral:rRNA from 1 species